GACGAACGCUGGCGGCGUGCUUAACACAUGCAAGUCGAACGGAAAGGCCUGCUUUCCCUUGUGUAUUGCGGGUACUCGCGUGGCGAACGGGUGAGUAACACGUGAGUUAUCUGCCCCCAACUUGGGUAUAAGCCUGGGAAACUGGGUCUAAUUCCCGAUAGGACUGCAGGGUGGUGCCUGUGGUGGAAAACGAUUUUCUAGUGGUUGGGGAUGAGCUCGCGGCCUAUCAGCUUGUUGGUGGGGUAAUGGCCUACCAAGGCGGCGACGGGUAGCCGGCCUGGGAGGGUGGACGGGCACAUUGGGACUGAGAUACGGCCCAGACGCCUACGGGAGGCAGCAGUGGGGAAUAUUGCACAAUGGGCGGAAGCCUGAUGCAGCGACGCCGCGUGGGGGAUGACGGCCUUCGGGUUGUAAACUCCUUGCGACCGCGAGGAAGCCACCUGGUUGGAAGGGUGGUGACGGUAGUGGUAGAAGAAGCACCGGCUAACUACGUG
rnacentral:rRNA from 1 species